AUCUCCGAUGAUGAUGUAAAAUGAUUAACUUUCGUUCUUCUGAAAUUCGCGGUGUGGAAGAACAAAUUUGGAGACCUGAGCUGAGGAAAU